GACGAACGUUGGCGGCGUGCUUAAUACAUGCAAGUCAACUGAAGCAGUGGUAGCAAUAUCGCUGUGGAGGUGGCGCACGGGUGAGUAACACGUAGGUAAUCUGCCUUCAGGUCUGGCAUAACUCCGGGAAACCGGGGCUAAUAGCAGAUGAUGCAGCGGCUCGACAUCGAGACAGUUGUUAAAGCUAUGGCGCCUGAAGAUGAGCCUGCGUCUGAUUAGCUAGUUGGCGGGGUAACGGCCCACCAAGGCAACGAUCAGUAGCUGGUCCGAGAGGAUGAUCAGCCACACUGGAACUGAGACACGGUCCAGACUCCUACGGGAGGCAGCAGUAAGGAAUAUUGCUCAAUGGGAGAAAUCCUGAAGCAGCAACGCCGCGUGAGGGACGAAGGGCUUUUGCUUGUAAACCUCUGUAGUGAGAGAAAAAAAUCCCAAUCUUUGGGACAUGAUGGUAUCUCAAAAGUAAGCCCCGGCUAACUACGUG
rnacentral:rRNA from 1 species